AGGGAAUCUUCGGCAAUGGGGGCAACCCUGACCGAGCAACGCCGCGUGAGUGAAGAAGGUUUUCGGAUCGUAAAGCUCUGUUGUAAGUCAAGAACGGGUGUGAGAGUGGAAAGUUCACACUGUGACGGUAGCUUACCAGAAAGGGACGGCUAACUACGUGCCAGCAGCCGCGGUAAUACGUAGGUCCCGAGCGUUGUCCGGAUUUAUUGGGCGUAAAGCGAGCGCAGGCGGUUUGAUAAGUCUGAAGUUAAAGGCUGUGGCUCAACCAUAGUUCGCUUUGGAAACUGUCAAACUUGAGUGCAGAAGGGGAGAGUGGAUUCCAUGUGUAGCGGUGAAAUGCGUAGAUAUAUGGAGGAACACCGGUGGCGAAAGCGGCUCUCUGGUCUGUAACUGACGCUGAGGCUCGAAAGCGUGGGGAGCGAACAGGAUUAGAUACCCUGGUAGUCCACGCCGUAAACGAUGAGUGCUAGGUGUUGGAUCCUUUCCGGGAUUCAGUGCCGAAGCUAACGCAUUAAGCACUCCGCCUGGGGAGUACGACCGCAAGGUUGAAAC
rnacentral:rRNA from 1 species